UAAUGGUUGCCAUAAAACAGCUCUGUAUCUCGUUUGCAGUGUUAUUAGUUCCCACCAACCCUCAACCGAGUACAUCAAGUACAUCUCCUACACCUCUGAAUGAAGAACCACCUACAGCGAAUGGCAACCCACCGACAGAUAAUGAAGAGCCAUCUUCAAAUAACGACCCAAGUACAGCUAAUGGAGAGUCAACUUCAAACAACGACCCGCCAACAGAAACCGAAGAGCCAGCUUCAGAUAGUGACCCACAAACAACUAAUGAAGAGUAACCAAGUAAUGACCCACCAACAGCUGAUAGAGCUGUUAAGGACCACUUAAAGGACCACCUUCAAGCAUUGACCCACCAACUGAAAGCGAAUGGCCUGCAUCGCACUAGAAACAUGUCCAUGCACUAUUACAACAUAUAUCAUUAUAUAUUGGA
rnacentral:misc_RNA from 1 species